UACGUAGGUGGCAAGCGUUGUCCGGAUUUCCUGGGCGUAAAGAGCGCGCAGGCGGUCGUAUAAGUCGAAUGUGAAAGCCCCCGGCUCAACUGGGGAGGGUCAUUCGAUACUGUUCGACUCGAAGGCAGGAGAGGGAAGUGGAAUUCCGGGUGUAGUGGUGAAAUGCGUAGAUAUCCGGAGGAACACCAGUGGCGAAGGCGACUACCUGGCCUGUUCUUGACGCUGAGGCGCGAAAGCUAGGGGAGCAAACGGG
rnacentral:rRNA from 1 species